rnacentral:rRNA from 1 species
UACAGAGGGUGCAAGCGUUAAUCGGAUUUACUGGGCGUAAAGCGUGUGUAGGCGGUCGGGAAAGUCGGUUGUGAAAUCCCUGGGCUCAACCCGGGAACUGCUUCCGAUACUUCUGGACUCGAAUUCGGUAGAGGGAGGCGGAACUCCAGGUGUAGCGGUGAAAUGCGUAGAUAUCUGGAAGAACACCAAUGGCGAAGGCAACCUCCUGGGCCUGAAUUGACACUGAGACACGAAAGCUAGGGGAGCAAACAGG